UGCCCGAGAGUUUUAACUGUAGAAGGAGUGUAACUCCCAUCGUCGUGGAUAUAUCGAUCCUUUUAAGCGCCCGAUGCAUUGUCGGCAAUCGGGCCGUUGGUCCCCAGUGGAACGUUGGGCCCAAGUCGGGGUGCCGGAGCUUGUACUCCUGGCGGGCGCCUACCCACAGUCGAAGAGUCGAGAUCUCAAAUUUCAAGGUUUUGAAAUUAAAUUCGUAUUCCAAGUGAGGGGAUACAAAGUUCAUUGGUAGUACAAUCUCAGAUUGUCGGCAUUCCAAGUCCGUGGGAUGGCCA
rnacentral:lncRNA from 1 species